CAGGCACUUACAAAGGCAGCCUUCCCCUUCUACUAGGGUCCUUUGUCCAACUAAGAAUGUGCUAGCAUGUGAGAACAAUUGGGGCAACGAUGAGCAGAAAUAACACAUUUGCACUACCUAAAAUGUUUGUGAAUUAGAUUUUAAAUGGUCAACAAGAAUGAAAUAUACAGCCAUUACAGAUAAUGUUUGAUGAGAAAAAAGAAGCUAGCCUAGUAUUAGCAUUGUGUGACACAUAUAUGAAUAUGACACUCCUUGUUUACUCCUUGUUUGAGCUGCAUGCCAAUGGCGACGCUAAGCAAAAGAGGUCAAAGUUGUCAUCGUAUUCUGUUUGUGGACGGCAAGAAAACCAAAUGAACAAGGAUGCCAGCACAUUGUUGCAAACAAUGCUGUACAAUCACAAGGGAUAAAGGGAUAACCUUUCACAGAAGCACUUAGCCGGUGAGACAGCCAGGAAGACAGCCGCAACAUCUGGCGCCGCCACAGAUGUCAAAAAGCCGCCAUUUAGAUGAGCGGGAGGGUCACCGGAGAGAAGGACGGCAGCAAAAGAGGGGGAGGGGGCACGUGUGCCACGCUGACACCUGGUGCUCCAGAUGACAGCGCCAAGGCCAGAUGGACCAUAUUACAUGCACACGCACGUACUUAUGCACACAUGUAUACUUGCACACAAACGCAUACUGUACACAAUUACCUUCACUUUGCCAACUAACGCUAAUUUUUUUUCCCUGCACAUUUUAGCCAAAAUAUUAACAUGCAUGUGUAAGCACUACGUGACCAAACUGACAAUGCCCAAAUGAAGGUAGCAGUUUUUCAACCAGUGAAUGAACCAACUCAGUGGUGAAUGAUUAUGAUUAUGGUAUACAAACCGCACACCACCUUUCUCAACUCCUUGCUCCACCCAAAGAUGCCACUCACCUAAACCACCACCCUCCAUCAUUAAUCCAUGAAUUAAACGGCCAGUCAUCGUUUUAGGUGCUUCUUGCUUACACAAGUCUGUUUUAACUGAAAAUUGAGGAAAAGGUGCUGUCUUUUUGGUUUGUUUACAUGACAGCAUUUUUGAGUAACAAUAUGCCUUUGAAAACGCAUCUCAAACUCAAAGUGAAAGUUUGUUUAAAUGACAGCAUUACUGUCUCAAUGUAAGACAAGUCAGUCAAAACAGUGGGGUUGGAACGGAGACACUGUAGUAGUAUUUGUGCUUUUAACUGUUCUCCAAUAGGAAACAUUUACAUUUCAUCGUUACUGCAUCCGAUGGCGUCACAUGACCUCAAUGUUCAUUCACGUAUUCAGUUCUGUCCAGGAAGACAAGCAGUUGGUGCACAUUUUUGUAUCUUUUCAAAUCCUGUCCAAUAUAGGCGUUUUCACUCAUUUUGCACAUCCAUAUU